AACGAACGCUGGCGGCAGGCUUAACACAUGCAAGUCGAGCGCCCCGCAAGGGGAGCGGCAGACGGGUGAGUAACGCGUGGGAAUCUACCCAUCUCUACGGAAUAACGCAUGGAAACGUGAGCUAAUACCGUAUACGUCCUUCGGGAGAACGAUUUAUCGGAGAUGGAUGAGCCCGCGUUGGAUUUGCUAGUUGGUGGGGUGAAGGCCUACCAAGGCGACGAUCCAUAGCUGGUCUGAGAGGAUGAGCAGCCACACUGGGACUGAGACACGGCCCAGACUCCUACGGGAGGCAGCAGUGGGGAAUAUUGGACAAUGGGCGCAAGCCUGAUCCAGCCAUGCCGCGUGAGUGAUGAAGGCCCUAGGGUUGUAAAGCUCUUUCACCGGUGAAGAUAAUGACGGUAACCGGAGAAGAAGCCCCGGCUAACUUCGUGCCAGCAGCCGCCGUAACAC
rnacentral:rRNA from 1 species